UACGUAGGGGCGAGCGUUAUCCGGAAUUAUUGGGCGUAAAGGGUUCGCAGGCGGCCUUGUAAGUCAGAUGUGAAAGACAGCGGCUUAACCGUUGUAAGCAUUUGAAACUGCAGGGCUUGAGUACAGGAGAGGAAAGCGGAAUUCCUAGUGUAGCGGUGAAAUGCGUAGAUAUUAGGAGGAACACCAGUGGCGAAGGCGGCUUUCUGGACUGAUACUAACGCUGAGGAACGAAAGCGUGGGGAGCAAACAGGAUUAGAUACCCUGGUAGUUCCUGA
rnacentral:rRNA from 1 species